GAUGAACGCUGGCGGCGUGCUUAACACAUGCAAGUCGAACGGAAAGGCUCCUGCUUGCAGGGGUACUCGAGUGGCGAACGGGUGAGUAACACGUGGGUGAUCUGCCCUUCACUUCGGGAUAAGCCUGGGAAACUGGGUCUAAUACCGGAUAGGACGAUGGUUUGGAUGCCAUUGUGGAAAGUUUUUCGGUGUGGGAUGAGCUCGCGGCCUAUCAGCUUGCUGGUGGGGUAAUGGCCUACCAAGGCGUCUACGGGUAGCCGGCCUGAGAGGGUGAACGGCCACAUUGGGACUGAGAUAAGGCCGAGACUCCUACGGGAGGCAGCAGUGGGGAAUAUUGCACAAUGGGCGCAAGCCUGAUGCAGAGACGCCGCGUGGGGGAUGACGGCCUUCGGGUUGUAAACUCCUUUCGCUAGGGACGAAGCGCAAGUGACGGUACCUGGAGAAGAAGCACCGGCUAACUACGGG
rnacentral:rRNA from 1 species